AACGAACGCUGGCGGCAUGCCUAACACAUGCAAGUCGAACGAGACCUUCGGGUCUAGUGGCGCACGGGUGCGUAGCGCGUGGGAAUCUGCCCUUGGGUUCGGAAUAACAGUUGGAAACGACUGCUAAUACCGGAUGAUGACGUAAGUCCAAAGAUUUAUCGCCCAAGGAUGAGCCCGCGUAGGAUUAGCUAGUUGGUGAGGUAAAGGCUCACCAAGGCGACGAUCCUUAGCUGGUCUGAGAGGAUGAUCAGCCACACUGGGACUGAGACACGGCCCAGACUCCUACGGGAGGCAGCAGUGGGGAAUAUUGGACAAGGGGCGAAAGCCUGAUCCAGCAAUGCCGCGUGAGUGAUGAAGGCCUUAGGGUUGUAAAGCUCUUUUACCCGGGAUGAUAAUGACAGUACCGGGAGAAUAAGCUCCGGCUAACUCCGUG
rnacentral:rRNA from 1 species